GUUAACAUUCAUCAGUUUAAUAGGGAGGUACUCAGGUUAACAGGAGCAGCUAGCUGGUCAGUCUCUGCCAAGUUCUUGGUACCAGUGGUAACUGACAGAUAUAAUGUCUGCCCUGGGAUUCCCCCCAGCAGAUAUUGGUGGCGGCUGUACUGUGAUCAUAUAUAUAACGGAGGGAGAAAAUAAAGCAUCACUUAUCAGAAUAAGCAAUGUCAAGGGGAAAUGGCUUUAAAGUGGAAUAGGGCAGAUUUAGACUAGAUAUUAGGAAGAAAUUCUUUGCUGUGAGGGUGGUGAGACACUGGAAAGGAUGUGGAUGCUCUCUCUUCGAAAACAUUCAAGGCCAGGCUGGAUGGGACUUUGAGCAACCUGGUCUAGUGUGAGGUGCUCCUGCCUAUGCCGGGGGGGGGCUGGAAAUAGAUGAUCUAAAGGUCCCUUCCAAUCAUUCUAUGAUUCACAGAAAGCAAGGAGACUGGUUUACACAUACAGAGCAGUUUCUCGCAAGCACAUUUCUUCUAGCUACAUACAGAAAGCUAGAGGCAGUUUAGUCGUGUUCCCAAGAUAGCAUGAGCCCUAUCUCAUAGGCUAGUCACCUGUUUGGGCCAUAGUAAGUAUUUUUCUACACGGGAGCUUGCUGAAGUCAGUUUUCAGACAAUUAUAGUGAAGUUUUGAAUUCUCUCCUGUCAUAGUUUCUGACCAGGCGAGACUGCAAGGUGAGCUUGUGUGGUGAAUCCCAAACAUAUGUAGCAGGCUGAGCCAUCAGCAGUAUUAGGCAUGAUUUAUUGUGAUGAGAUUCACCCAUUAGGGUUCAUUUGACUUACUGUUCUCAGCUGAGACCUAAGCUCACAAACACUUAGUGCUAAACUGUGACUUUACAACUUUGCCAGGUUGCUAUGCAUGUGUGAAGAGAAGCUCUUGUGGCAGCUGAUGGAAGCAUUAUCUGAAAUCAAAUGCAAUGUCCCUGAAGGAAAGAACAGAGCAGUGACAGCUGCCACAACCCCUAACAGUGAGCACCAGACUCUGCAGGCUGAUAAGGUAGAGCAGGUAGAACCAGAGCUAGGCUCGAUGUGUCCCAGCACUGCUGCUGCUUUUGAGUGCUCCAGUUUCUAUUUGCUGAGAGCAACAGAUCUGCUCAUUUUUGUCCAGGUGCUGAAACUUGAGGAACAAAACCAAACCACAUGUUUCUAGAAACUGUAAAAGAACACAGAGCUCAUCUCUCAAAUAACUUACAAUACUUGGACACCUGCUGAAGCAAGGAAGCAUAACAAACACUAGGGAGUGAUGGCAGAAGGAAACUGGAGGGUAAUGACAAUAAAAUCAAGCAGUCAUUUAAGCUAGCUGUUUGU
rnacentral:lncRNA from 1 species